GACGAACGCUGGCGGCGUGCUUAACACAUGCAAGUCGAACGAUGAAGCCCAGCUUGCUGGGUGGAUUAGUGGCGAACGGGCGAGUAACACGUGGGCAACCUGCCCCAAACUCUGGGAUAACUCCUCGAAAGAGGUGCUAAUACCGGAUACGAACUAGACAGACAUCUGUACUAGUUGGAAAGUUUUUCGGUUUGGGAUGGGCCCGCGGCCUAUCAGCUUGUUGGUGAGGUAACGGCUCACCAAGGCUACGACGGGUAACCGGCCUGAGAGGGCGACCGGUCACACUGGGACUGAGACACGGCCCAGACUCCUACGGGAGGCAGCAGUGGGGAAUAUUGCGCAAUGGGCGAAAGCCUGACGCAGCGACGCCGCGUGAGGGAUGAAGGUCUUCGGAUCGUAAACCUCUUCCAGUAGGGACGAAGCGAAAGUGACGGUACCUAAAGAAGAAGCACCGGCUAACUACGUGCCAGCAGCCGCCGCUG
rnacentral:rRNA from 1 species